rnacentral:rRNA from 1 species
AACGAACGCUGGCGGCAUGCCUAGCACAUGCAAGUCGAACGAGACCUUCGGGUCUAGUGGCGCACGGGUGCGUAACGCGUGGGAACCUGCCCUUAGGUUCGGAAUAACUCCCCGAAAGGGGUGCUAAUACCGGAUAAUGUCUUCGGACCAAAGAUUUAUCGCCUUUGGAUGGGCCCGCGUUGGAUUAGCUAGUUGGUAGGGUAAAAGCCUACCAAGGCGACGAUCCAUAGCUGGUCUGAGAGGAUGAUCAGCCACACUGGGACUGAGACACGGCCCAGACUCCUACGGGAGGCAGGAGUGGGGAAUAUAGGACAAUGGGCGAAAGCCUGAUCCAGCAAUGCCGCGUGAGUGAUGAAGGCCUUAGGGUUGUAAAGCUCUUUUACCCGGGAUGAUAAUGACAGUACCGGGAGAAUAAGCUCCGGCUAACUCCGUG